AUGAACGCUAGCGACAGGCUUAACACAUGCAAGUCGAGGGGCAGCACAGGUAGCAAUACCGGGUGGCGACCGGCGCACGGGUGAGUAACGCGUAUGCAACUUGCCUAUCAGAGGGGGAUAACCCGGCGAAAGUCGGACUAAUACCGCAUGAAGCAGGGGCCCCGCAUGGGGAUAUUUGCUAAAGAUUCAUCGCUGAUAGAUAGGCAUGCGUUCCAUUAGGCAGUUGGCGGGGUAACGGCCCACCAAACCGACGAUGGAUAGGGGUUCUGAGAGGAAGGUCCCCCACAUUGGUACUGAGACACGGACCAAACUCCUACGGGAGGCAGCAGUGAGGAAUAUUGGUCAAUGGGCGUAAGCCUGAACCAGCCAAGUCGCGUGAGGGAUGAAGGUUCUAUGGAUCGUAAACCUCUUUUAUAAGGGAAUAAAGUGCGGGACGUGUCCCGUUUUGUAUGUACCUUAUGAAUAAGGAUCGGCUAACUCCGUGCCAGCAGCCGCGGUAAUACGGAGGAUCCGAGCGUUAUCCGGAUUUAUUGGGUUUAAAGGGUGCGUAGGCGGCCUUUUAAGUCAGCGGUGAAAGUCUGUGGCUCAACCAUAGAAUUGCCGUUGAAACUGGGGGGCUUGAGUAUGUUUGAGGCAGGCGGAAUGCGUGGUGUAGCGGUGAAAUGCAUAGAUAUCACGCAGAACCCCGAUUGCGAAGGCAGCCUGCCAAGCCAUUACUGACGCUGAUGCACGAAAGCGUGGGGAUCAAACAGGAUUAGAUACCCUGGUAGUCCACGCAGUAAACGAUGAUCACUAGCUGUUUGCGAUACACUGUAAGCGGCACAGCGAAAGCGUUAAGUGAUCCACCUGGGGAGUACGCCGGCAACGGUGAAACUCAAAGGAAUUGACGGGGGCCCGCACAAGCGGUGGAGCAUGUGGUUUAAUUCGAAGCAACGCGAAGAACCUUACCAGGUCUUGACAUGCUAGGAACUUUGCAGAGAUGCAGAGGUGCCCUUCGGGGAACCUAGACACAGGUGCUGCAUGGCUGUCGUCAGCUCGUGUCGUGAGAUGUUGGGUUAAGUCCCGCAACGAGCGCAACCCUUGCCUUUAGUUGUCAGCAUUCAGUUGGACACUCUAGAGGGACUGCCUAUGAAAGUAGGAGGAAGGCGGGGAUGACGUCAAAUCAGCACGGCCCUUACAUCCGGGGCGACACACGUGUUACAAUGGCGUGGACAAAGGGAGGCCACCUGGCGACAGGGAGCGAAUCCCCAAACCACGUCUCAGUUCGGAUCGGAGUCUGCAACCCGACUCCGUGAAGCUGGAUUCGCUAGUAAUCGCGCAUCAGCCAUGGCGCGGUGAAUACGUUCCCGGGCCUUGUACACACCGCCCGUCACACCACGAGAGUUUGUAACACCCGAAGUCGGUGAGGUAACCUUUUUGGAGCCAGCCGCCUAAGGUGGGAUAGAUGAUUGGGGUG
rnacentral:rRNA from 1 species